AAUUCGUCCAAAGGUUACAUUUCCAUACCAAAAGUACAAUCCAAAGCCGAAGGCAUAAACAAAAGUAUUAGCAACCCUAAAACAAAAGUACAUCAAGAGGCUGCUCCAUUUUACCUCCGAAUUCAACCUGUUAAGGAAAACAAAUCUACAGGGUGAGCAAAACGCUCGUGAGGCCAAGAACACACAUGCAGACACAUAGUUCAGAUAACAAGCCCAAAUAACAAUUCAGGUAAUAACUUGCAAGUAAUUAAUAAGGCCAACAAAAUGUAACCAGAAACAAUUCAAGGAUAUGGAAGCUCUCAGGAGCUAAGUUCCACAUUUGCCGAUGUCAUUUGUAUAUCUCCCCGUGAUGACUCUCCGUCAACCGGGUUGAUAUUUUCAUAUCCGUAGUUCACCACUUACUUCUCAUCCGUCCACCAUACACCACUUCGAGCCCGCACUCACUACAAGAAAAAAGGUCAUUAGUGACAACAUUUCUUUGUGACGACAAAAAGUCGUCACAAAAUGAGGUUGUUUAGUCACGACUUUGAAGGUUGUCACAAUUGACUCAAAGCAACUGAGUUUUCAGUGACAACUUUUAAUUGUCGUCACAAAACUACUUCGCGCCAUGGGACUUGGAAGGCGCGAGUUUUGUGAUAGUGACGACUUGAUAAAAGUUGUCAGUAAUUCUACCACUUUCUUUGACAACUUUUCGUUGUUGUCACUGUUUAUGUUUAUUGACGACCAAUUUUUGUCAAUAAAACUAUAGUGUAGUUAGUGACAACAUAAGUAUCAUCACUAACUUGAACAUCUCUAAUGCAUUUAUUUAAUUGUGAACCUCAAUAUUAAUUUAUUUUUUUUAAAUUUGAUGAUUUAUUAACUAUGACUUUAUUUAAUUGUGAGCCUCAAUAUUAAUUUAAUUUUUUUUUAAAAUUUGAUGAUUUAUUAAACUAGUCAUAGUUACUUAAAUAUUAAUUUAAGUUAUUUACGGACGACUUUUUGUUGUCGUCACUGAUCACGAAAAAAAAAGUUAUUAGUGACAACAUUUUGUAGUGAUGACAAUAAGUCGUCACAAAAGGAGCUUCUUUAGUCGCGACACCUAAAGUUGUCACAAUUGCAUCAAAGCAACCAAAUGUUUAGUGACGACCCGUUAUUUUCGUCACAAACUACACUGCAAGAAAUAUGGUCAUUAGUGACAACAUUUUUUAGUGACGACAAAAGUCGUCACAAAACGUGGUUGUUUAGUGACGACAAGAAAAGUUGUCAUAAUUGCUCAAAGCAACUAAGUCUUCAGUGACGACCUUGAAAAAGUUGUCACUAAAAUGAUCUCUAUAGUUACAACUUCUAAUAUCGUCACUGUCACUCUACCAAUUCGGAUUUAGUGACAAGAAUUAAUUGUCACUGUUUAAAGUAAUUAUUUUUAAGUCACUUUCAUUAAUUCUACUGUGUCACCCUAACUUUUGCGAUUUAGCCCCAAAUGUUGUAAAAAAUUCCAUUAAUUCCAUUAUGAUACCUUAACUUUUACAAUUUAGCUCCAUAUGUAGUACACCGAUUUCUUUAAUUCUAUUAUUACUCCCUAACUUUUGUAAUUUAGUCCCAUAUGUAAUUCACCAAUUUCAUUAAUUCUAUUAUGGCACUCUAACUUUUGCAAUUUAACCCCCAUAUGUAAUACACCAAUUUUAUUAUUUCUAUUAUGGCACCCUAACUUUUACAAUUUAGCCCCUAUUUUUUUAUUAGGAAAUUGCGAAUGGUAUCUUGAUAAACUAUGCAUAAAUAUUUUAUAAUUUUCUCAAACUUAAGUAAUAAUUUGUUAUAAACUCUAAAGAUAUAUCUUUCAUUACAAUAGUUAUAAGGCAGGCAGGUCUUUUUAUCAAUGGAAUAAGAAAUUUAUGCCAGAUUUAUCUUUUGUACUACAUGCCAAGUAGUAUUAGCAAAGGAAUAACAAAGUACUACAAAGUAAUUAACAAAAUAGCCUUCAGAGAGUGUAGUUUAUGGGCAAAUGAGCAUUAUCUAUUCAAAGUACCAACUUUUUAUGGGUAUUUUACUUUCAAACAUAUAAUUUAUGAUAAAUUUAUAAAUGUUUGUAAGUAAAAUUCAAAAAGUGUUACACUGAUUUCUUACAAAACGAAAACUGGCAGGUUAUCUUUUCAACAUAAAUUAAAUUUUUUUUAAAAAAGAAAUGACCCAUAAAGUACCAACUCUUUGUGGGUUUCCUCCAUUACAUGAACAAAUAUUCUGCUCUUUAUGGGCAUUUCACUCUGAAUCAUUUAAUUUAUGUUAAAUACAUAAAUGUUUGUAAGUAAAAUUCAAAAAGUGUUGCACUAAUAUUUUUUUGAAAGGGAAACUGGUAGGUUUUGUAUUUAACAUAAAUUAAAUAUGUGAAAGCAAAAAAAAAAAAAUUACCCAUAAAUCUAUGUCUUGCAAAUCUAAACUAGUAAAAUAGUUUCAAACAAAAUUAAACAUUAAAAUAAACUGUAAUUUAUACACAUUAAAAUAUCUGUAAUUUAUACACAUUUUGCAACUACUACUUUGUGUUUUCUCUGUAAUGAAUUUUUUAACUAUUGAGAACUUAAGUUUUGUCUUGCAAAUCUAUACUAGUACAAUAGUUUUAAACAAAAUUAAACAUUAAAAUAAAUGUUUGAAAAAGAACAAAAGCACAUUUAUUACUUGCAGUAAUGUAACAAAAUUUUCUCAACCAUUAUCAAUAUUUUCACAAAACUAUUAAAAACUAGCAAUUGACAAUAUUAAAAAGGGAUAAUUUCAGAAACCUCCCCUGAGGUUUCUGACAAUUUCACUGACCUCCCCUGAGGUUUCCACAAUUACACUGACCUCCCCUGGCAGAACUUGGGACCCAAUUGCUGACAUCAUAUAAUGCAAAAUUACUAUUAUACCCAAGACAUUUUGUGUUUUGGAUAGUAUUGGAUUGCAUUUCUAUUUAUUUAAUGUAUGGUUAUGAAAUUUGUAAUGAUAUUACUCUUGGAUUGCAGUUUUGGUUUGCACCUUAUUACUGUUAAGGUUUUAUAAAUGACUGUUUUAGUUCUUGGAUUGCACCUUACCUCCAAAAUUUGGGAAUUUACCCAAAUUUUCCAUUUUCUAAUAUUCCUACAAAUAUGCAAAAUUAUGCAUAUCCCUCAAAUCUACCCAAUAUUAAUGUUUUGUUAAACUCUAAAUAACAAAAAUAUGAAAUAUAUUAUUUAAAUAUAUUUUAGUUACACACAAGUUGGAUGGGUAACUAGUGUGUCAGAGAGUUGCCAUAAUCUCCUUAAACCCGCAUGCGGGUUUAAAGAGUAUUCGGAUAUUCUCAUAUGCACCUAUGCAAAUCGAACCAACCGGAUAUCUUAUCCGUAUCCCAUUUUUUUAAAUAAAAAUCUUAUAAAUUUGAAAAAUAAAAUCAAAUUUAGAUGUAUUAGGGUUUUAAAAAUAUUAUAUAAGUGAUAAAAAUUUUAUAAAUUGUAAAAAUAAAAUCAAAUUUAAAUAAUUAAAUGUUAUAUUUGCAUAAGAAAUAAUACAAUAAUCAUAAUAAUGAUAAUACAAUAAUAUUGAUGUAAUAAAACUGCCAUUAAUUUAAAUAUUUACUUAUAAUGCCCAAAGAGCCUAAUUACCAAUUUUUUCUUCUCGCGCUCAAAUAUAACAUUAACCCGCAUGCGAGCUAACCUUGAAAUAGAAAAAACACAGAAUCCCGCUUGCUGCAAUAAUGUUCUUUAGUGCUGCAAUUAUAAGAAAUUAGUAUAAAAUAUUAGCAAAUUAUAAAAGUACAUUUUCAAUUAUAUGAAAUUAACAAAUUUUGCCACCUAUGUUGAUGAAAAUUUUUAUUUUUUGCUAAAAAAUAAAGAAUAAUACUAUAGCAUUAAAAGGCAAUUCGUCAGGCAAAUAUCCUUCAAAAGGCAAUGCUACUUUAAACAUAUUUUUCUACUUUUGCCCACGUCAAUUCAUCAGGAAAAGUUUUCGUUUUCCCACCAUUUUUUUACCACCAAUUUUUUUCCUUUUCGCCCAAAAAAGAAUUUAGACGGACAUUAACUUAUAGUAGGUUGCAAAAUGGCCUUCACAAAAGCCCCAAUCUUCAUCAUCCUCUUCCUCAUCACCCUCCUCCCGAUCUCCACCAAUUCUCAAGACCCCAGUUCGGAUUUGCUCUUGCAGCUCGAAUCCCUCCAAUCCCAGUCCCCCAAAGGCGGCGUUAUCCAUCUCACUGAUUCCCUCAAACGGAUUCUAUCCAUUCCAACUCAUCGUCCCUGUGCUUUCCUCGUCUUCUUCGACGCCCAACAACUCCACUCCAAACCCGAACUCUCCCUCCCUUCUCUCAAAUCCGAGUUCUCCCUCGUCUCUAAAUCCUUUUUAGCCAACAACCCUCCAACUUCUCACUCAAAACUCUUCUUCUUCGACAUCGAAUUUCAAGAAUUCCAGUCCUUUUUCGCCCUUUUCGGAGUAAAUUCUCUGCCCCACACCGAUGUCAAGAAAGACUCCGUCCAGAUAAAUGCAUCAGAUUUCUCGAGGCUCGCCGAAUCCAUGGCUGAAUUUGUCAAGGCCAAAACGAAGCUGAGCAUUGGGCCAAUUGAUCGCCCCUCUUUGAUUUCUAAGAAGCAAUUGAUGUUUCUCAUUGCUGUUAUUCUGAUUUCGGCUCCAUUCUUGGUGAAAAAAGUGAUUUAUGGGAACACCCUUUUGCACAAUAAGAGUAUUUGGAUGACCGGAGAGAUUUUUGUCUACUUUUUCAGUGUCUCCGGUUCAAUGCAUAACAUAAUUAGGAAAAUACCCAUGUUUUUGGUUGAUAGGAAUGACCCUGGGAAGUUGGUUUUCUUUUAUCAGGGGGUCCGGGAUGCAAUUGGGAGCUAAAGGGUUCGCGGUUGGGUUCUUGUACACUGUGGUGGGAUUGUUGCUGGCUUUUGUUACUCAUGUUAUUGUCUAUGUGAGGAAUAGGAAUGCUCAGAGGUUGGUGAUGUUUAUUUCCUCCUGGGCUGUUCAGAUGAUUUUUGUUGGCAUUCUUGUCGCAUUUCUGGUUUCUUGAUUUUAGUUUGUUCUACCGUGUUAGUUUUUGUUAGUGUUUCAGAUAAGGAAAAUUGACGUUUUAUUUUUGGUGUAAAUUAACAAUGUACCUUUCAUUUUGCUUUUGUGCUCAUAUUCUGUAUUUGCAACUGUUGCUAAAAAAAUUGAAUCAUGUAAUUGGCAGUGAUUUAUGUAUCUUUUUGGUGUUGUCUUGGUGAAAUGCUUGUAAUAAGCAUAGCAAUCACUUGUUUUCUCGUUUUCUAUGGUAUCUGUUCUAGAUCUUCUUUCACAUGUAGAUAUGGCGUUGAGAUAAGUUUCCGACUAAAUGAGGAAAGGUGCAAUUUUGAAUGGUAAACCUGCGGCCAAAUUGCAAAUCACAUGCCAAAUUAUGAACUAGAGCUAUAAGUUGGCAUUUGCAGUUGGUAGUGGGUGUUUCUUCAGGAGUUGGAAGAAUUUGAUUCACAAUUCCAUAACAUUUUAAAAGGCUAUACUACGUACUCAGUAAUUAGACUAGAGAGGAUGAUGCUUGAGUGCUAGAGCUUAGUGCAAGAGGAUACUGCUAUAUUAUUUGUGAUAUAAGUAAUUCUCAAUCAACUUGCACAACGGUGAUCUUUAUGGUAGUUUUCUAGUUCGAGUAAGAAUAAGUACUUUGUAAAAUCUGUUUUGCUUGCUUUCCUGGAAUUUAAGUUUCAUGUCUUACAUGGUAGUUUGUUCUCCAUAUAGCAUUAUUUUAUACUAUAUAAUCACAAACUUUUUGCUGGAUGUAGGUUGGAUUUUCUGUUAACGGAGUAAUAAUACUAACUUUUAUGUGGGUUUUGAAGGCAUUCCUUGAGGUAAUACCUUUUCUUUUCACAUGAAUGGUUCCCAUUUUUGGUGCCAUUCUUGAAGUAAAUUUCAUUGUGAAUGUUUUGCAAUGUCCCGCCACUUGCCUAACUUACUAGUUUGAUUGGAAUACAAUAUUAAGGGGUGCUGGUUUUCUAUGGAAUUAAUACACCAUGACAAACAGCAAAAGUAAUUUCAGAGAUCUAGAACAAGAAAGUUGUUUUUUGCUUUUAAAUGGCAAAGAAACAUUCUAGUUAUGUUGGUACACAUUGCUCCUACUUGACACCUUAUAUCAUGAUCGACAUUACUUUGGUUAUCAUACUUGACACCUUGUAUCCUCUGUGGUGCAUUAGUUUGGAUUGUUUUGGUUUAGUUUAGUUUAGUUUAUUUGAAUGUUUUAGCUAAGCAAGUGAACUGAAGUUGCUUUUCCUUUAGUGUUGUGCUUAUCGUCUUAUCAACUGGUUAUAUUGUUCAUAGCAGUACUUAUAUCAGUACUUGUUAUAGUAGUGCUUGUUGCCUUAUCAACUUGUUAUAUUAUUCCUUUGAGGCUGAAGUUUAAUAGCAGUACUUAUUUCUUGAGCUAAUUUGGUGCAUUAGUUUGGGCCUGAUUUUGAUUUUCUUUGGGGCUGAUUUUGAAUGUCCAGCUUUAAUUAUUGAGGUUCUUAUUGGAUUGCAAAUUUUAGCUAAGCAACCGAACUACAAGAGAUAUAGUGAAAUUGGGAAAUGGCAAGGUUUAGUGAAAUUUUGUCUGAUGUUAAAAAUUCCCCCUUGUGUUGAAAUUUGGUAUUUUUUUUUCACGACAAAACAGCCUAGCAAAUUGUCACACUUAAAAGACAGUAUCUUUUAUCGGAACAAAACAAUGACUAAAUUCGUUUAUAUUAUUCCAAUCUUGUUUGCCACAUCCAAAGCAUCGUAGUCUGGAGUCAACCGAACAUAUGCUUUCUUUGUUCCAUCAGGCCUGAUCAUAGUGUUCACUUUCUUGAUCUGUAUGUCGUACAUCUUCUUCACUGCAUCUUUGAUUUUUUCUUAUCAGCACGGAUGUCAACUAUGAAUACCAUGGUAUUGUUAUCUUCAAUCUUUUUCAUGGCAGAUUCAGUAGUCAAAGGAUAUUUGAGAAUCUGAUAAUGGUCCAACUUAUUCCUAGGAGGAGCACUGAUGCGUGGGUACUUCGGGUUCCCGUCCUUUUUCAAUGUCUUAGGACGAUGGAAGGUAACUUUGGUCCGGAUCUUCUUGGCUUUCUUCUUAAAAGUUGUCCCAGAUUUGACAAAUUUGGCAACCUUGGCUAUAGGGUGUUGUUGAACUUCAUUAUGAUAUUUGAAUGCUUAUAUGAUAUUUUGACAUUUCGUAAUGCAAUGGAUGCAUUCAUUUGCUAAUUAUAAAUCAUUGUCAUUUUUUUCCAUUUAUAGAUAUAAUUGUUGUAGGAAAAUUUUCAAUUUUCAUGGUGAUAAAGAGUUAUCAUUGAAUCAGAAUUUUUCAUUAAUAACAAUAUAUAGUUGCACUUAAAUGUUCGCUUUUGUUUAUAUGCUGAUUUUAAGUUUAAGGAUGGAGUGUAAUUACUUGUAAGAUUUUUUUUGUUUAUUGUACCAGUUGUCACUAGAUUUGGUUCAAGAAUGGCUAGCAGAGAAUGCCAAGGAAUCAAUAUUGGGACAGGACAUGAGUAUUAGUGGAAUAGCAACUUAUCAGCCAUUUGAUGGAUUGAUGGAGUUGAAAGUGGUAAGUACUUUGACAUUACGUCUCAUUUCUAUCUGUUGUGCAGUUAAUACUUGUUGAGUUGCGUAAAAACCUCUGAAGUUUAUUGCAUUUCCUGCUUCUACUGUGCAAAUUUUUCUGAAGCAAUUUCUGUUCUGAAGUGCUAUUGACUCUAUUAAAAUUGAAGGAGAAACUUCCAUGCAGCAAGUAAUUUGAAUGAAUGCCUUCUAUCUGUUUUAUGGUUAAUACUUGCUGGGUUGCAUAAGAAUCUCUAAAGUUUAUUGCAUUUUCUGCUUCUACUGUGUUAAUUUUUCUGAAGCAAUAUCCAUUCUGAAGUGCUAUUGACUCUGCUAAAAUUGAAGUAGAAACUUCCCAUGCGGCAAGUAAUUCGAUUGAAUGGCUGCUUUGAUGAUGUAUAUUUAAUUCAUAUGAAGUAUCUUUUGGUAAGUGCUUUAGAAUGAGUAGAAUCUUGGUGAAGAAUCUCCACUUGCGAUACAAAAUUGAGUGUGAAGCUAGUUGAUAUCCUGAUUCUAUCUAAACUAAAGACAGAAAAACAAGGGAAAGACAUUCGAAAUGAAGCAAAUAUGUCCUGCAUGAGUCUAAAUCAUUCUGUCAAUGCACAAAAUCGUGUCAUGAAGACAAUCUUUGGCAGAUGUCACAGCACAAAUUAGUCAUGUAUGUUGUACUACUUCUUUGAACUACUGGAAUUUGCAAUGCGUUCCAUUGGUAGCAGAGUACAGGCAAGAAAAUGAAAAACUAGAUUAAAAAAAUUCCAAACGUAUUUAAGACUCAGGGCUUGCUUUUGCCUGCCUAAAGUCUCAAAAAUCUUGAAAAUGAUUACUGUUUCAUGUUUUUUGGUAAUCAAUUUGUGGUUUUCAAACAAUGAAUUACAAGUUUGGUCACUACAAUUUGUUGUAUGUGAUUUGUCACUUGUAAAUAAUGGCUUUGACAUUCCUGUGUAUCCUAACCAAAGUAUUGUGUCUGCAUAAUUAUGAUAUUGACAAAUGUGCUUAAUGAACACUAGUUGCUAACUCACUUUAGUUAAAGAUGAUAGUUUUGAAUAUGUUUCUGCUUCUUGUAGUAGCACUUUCUCUCCCCCUGCCACUGUUGGAGUCUUAAAAGUAAUUAUUCUGGCAAUAAGUCCACAGGUUACUAUUAACAUGGACUCGGAUAAAGUUUGACUUUUUGGCUCUAGGUGUAGCUCUUAUAGCUUCCAGCUAUUAGGAUAUCCAAUUUGUCUCUUCAAUUAGCCAACUUGCAAUCAUGUGUACGGUGCUUGGACUUGCUUUUUAUCUUGUUGCUGUAUAUGCUGAUUCACUAUUCUUGUAGGCAGUAGUUGGAUUCAUGUCUCAAGUAAUGGACAAAUUAGUAUCCUUCAAAAGUGCUUGGUAGGUGACAAUAUUAACUUGUAGUAUCAAGCCUCAAAAGUGCUUGGUAGGUGAUAAGGCUGCUUUUUCUUGUUUAUUAGACCUUAUGUAUAGUUACAUAUUUUUAGAUAUAUGAAAUCCUAUGACAUUCAAAGCUUCAAAGACUACUUUUGGUCUAAAACACAGUGAAGUUUGCAAAGUUGUUUCUCAUAAAUGUGGAAUCGUUUGUUGCUGUCCUUUGACAUCUUAAUAUUAAAAUAAAGAAGUGGAACAAUUCUGCCCAUAUAAUCCUUGGCUCUUAAUGAAUGUUAUUAAACUUCCAUCCUCUAGUAGACUCUGUUUCCGAACUAUAAUGUCUCUUUUUCUACUCUUUGUAUAGCCACUAUCUAGAUGAGACUUAAAACAAAUGAUUCACUUUAUUUUUUGGUGACUCCUUAACUAAUUUUCCUUGUUUUAAUUUUUCUAUCAUCUACUAAUAACUUUACUAUUUUAUUGCAGAUAUAUUGCUCAUUUUAGAGGUUUGGAAGAUUAGCAGUACGGCUUACGUGUCGACUCAAAAACUAUGGUUAUAGUGCUAUCUUAAGUUUAGAAAAUGUUUUGGGACUUGGAAUUGUUUUUUAGUGUAGCCUUGACUUAUAUGGCAAAAUUUGCUCUAUUGAAACUUAUCAAACUAUUUGUAGUGUGAUGUUGCACUUAUUUAUGACAUUUGAAUAUUUAAUAUGUUAUUAUGGCAUUUCCUAUUGUAACGGGUGUCUACGUUUGUUAUUUAUUAAACAUUGCUGAUGUUUUCAUUUUUUAGAUAUUAUUGUAGUAGGAAAAUCAUCAAACUACACAUUGCAAGGUGUUGUAAAUGAGUAGCAUUUCUCAAGCAGGCUGUCUUUAUUGACAAUUGUUGUUGUCACUGAAUCAAAACUAUUCAUUGAUAAGAAGUUGUUGUCACAGUUGAUAAGGGGUUUAUUGACAACAAAGUUGUCACUAAUUAAUAUAUACACUGACUAUGUUGCUUCAUGCAUCAUUGACAAGAAAGCAUGUCGUCACUAAAUUUGUAGCUUUUAUUGACAACAUAUCUUGUCAUAAAAAAGUUUUUAUUCACUGACGACUUUAAAGUCGUCACUGUAUACUUUUACCGACGGAGAUUCAGUGACGACUCUGUGACAACCGAAAUGUUGUCAAUAAAAGUCAUCAGUGACGACUUUUUGCUUUUUUGUGACGAAAAGUAGUUGUCAUUGAAGACCAAAAUUCUUGUAGUGACUACAUUUAUAAGGCGAUACUAUACGAGUAUGCCAAGCGAGAUCUCUCAAUAGAUCAAGCUUAUCAUUUGAGUCUCAUGGCUCACCGAGGUUCCCGACCAAGCCCAUGCCGGCUCGAGUUCCAAGGUCGGCCUAUGAGUUUGGGCGUCCCCCAUUUGUCAUGUAAAUAUCGAGGAGAUUCACUCCAUCGACGUAUGCAAUCAUAGCAUACCAUUUCAUGUAUUCAAGCAUUUGAUAGGUUUAAGCAGACAUUUCAAGUCAUGUAAACCAAACAAAUCAUGUUAAACAUGAGUCAUUCGUUUCGAAUGAGAACGAGUGCGAUCAAGUACACACUCGACUCCAUUUUGUCAAAAUCAGUUAAGCUAAACAUGAAAUCAGGUGAAUCAAGCAUGAAUCAAGACUUUAGGGUUCAAGUAGGCAUACACUUGACACUCACCAAGUUAUGCAAGCAAGUAAAUUGGAGGAAGAGUUCAAACUUCCACAGUAGGGUCCUCUUGGAGGUCCUCGUGCGUGCCUGAGCAAAUAAUAGUGAAUUAUCACCCAUAUCCCAAAUAUCGAGGAAUAAUUCGUUCACUAGUAUUACUCUAGGAAAUUCAGUGAAAAUGAACCUCAAUUACUCGUAAAUCGAGAUUCGAGAGAGGUUUGAUAACAUUCAACACUAUUUAAGUCUUUAUCUAGGAAAUCGGGGAUAAAACGUUUAGAUAAUAUCAAAAGAAUAAAGAGUUCUUGAAAAACUCUAUUUCCUUGAAAGUUGGAAAAAUUUCAGUUUUGUUAUGAAUCUUAGAAAAAUCGUAACUCACUCGGCAUAAGUCAAGAAUUGGAAAACUUUAUACCGUUGAAAACCUCUUAGAAAGUACUGCAAGUUCCUAGAAGACACUUUUCCAUGAAUCGAAGUGCAAAGUGCUCAAAAAUGAGCCUAAAGUUUCUGUUCCAAAUCACCCAGGAUUGAGCCGGGGUUGGUUUUUCGCUAACUUUGAAAAUUUGGCAGAAUUCACUCGUUGCAAACCAGCCCUUGAAAUUUAUAGCUCAAUUAGAGGUACAAGUAAGGUUUAGGUCAGAACAAACGGAUCGAGAAUCGGAGUUUCGAGCACCAAGAUAUGGUAGCUCAAAGUUGGGAAAAAUUCAAGACUGUUACAAAAUUUCCAGAUUUGGUUCCAACUUUGGACCUUUAGUUAAGUGCGAAACGGACUUGGAUUGACACCAAAUUUUGCAGUAUAAUACUUCCAUAUGAAGGUUAUCUCUCUAUCAAAUUUCAUGGAAAAAUACCCUCGGAAGGGGGUCAUUCAAUCAACCAAAGUUUGGAAAAUCCUUAAGGCAAUCUGUCCAAAUCUAAGAUUUUCAAAACGAGCAGUCGCCGUAUUUUGAUCAUAACUCUCUCAAUUUAACUCGGAAUUGGGAAUGGUUGAUAGUGUUAGAAAAUAAAUUCAUAGGGCUACAACUUCACAGAAGAAAUCGUUCCAUGUUUCGGCAUGCAACUGGUUCAAAAUCAAGCCUCAAGUUGCAGCAUCAUCAAAUCAUUUCGGCAGAACGGAGAAACAGGACAGUCGACUUCAGAUGAAUGGUGUGGCUCACACACAUGAAACCAGAAUGUGCAUUAUACACCGUUGGAAACAUGGGAACGUAUAGUUUCAAAUUCCGCUGACGGAACUUGAUUUCGACAUCGGAGCAUGGAGUUAUGGACAAAAUACAACCACUGGUCUGGAUUACGGCGAAACCGUUUUCCAGAUUACCAAUUUUUGAAAUAAAUUCGUUUGAGCAACCAAAACUCAAUAUUUUUCAACGAAAUUUUGUACACAACUUCUAAAACAUGUAAACAACAUAAUCAAGCCUUUAAAUCCUCAAUUAUCUGCAGUAAAGUGACCGAACAGAGCAGGGGUAAAAUGGGAACUUUUUGUUUCGAGAGUUAAACAACGUUUCUGUCAAGAAUGCACCUUUAAUCUACUUCCUUAAGCUCUAAUUCAGCAAAUAAACCAUCAUCAAACAUCAUCACAGCCAUCAACCAAAGUGGGAGUUCAUAGAGCCCACAUUUCCAACAAUACAAGCUAUUAAAGCAAAGAUUCCAACUCAAAUGCGUAAAUCAACUUCCAUAAGACAAGUUGAAGGUGUUAGAUUGCUACCUACUUUGAUGGCUGGUUUGGACAGAUUUUUCGGUCCUUUGAAGCUUGAAGAAACCGUGAAAGCUCCUCCCUUUUUCAGCCUAUGUUGUUGUCCAAGUGAAAAGCUAAAUGAAUGUGAAGUUUGAUGAGAAUCUAUGGAAGUUUUGGUAGGAAUUUGGUUGAGUUUUGGAAGAAAGGAAAUGAUGAAGCUUCGGUUGUUCCUUUGCUGCAGUCUAGCCGUCCAUUGCAGCAGAGGAAAGGAAAUGAAUUGCGGUUCCGAAGCCUUUGCGUAUAAGAGACGCUUGACGUCAAAUCUUUUAAUACGUCAAAUCAAUUAUAACUAGUACCCUACAC
rnacentral:lncRNA from 1 species